rnacentral:rRNA from 1 species
GAUGGGCGCUAACGGCAGGCCUAAUACAUGCAAGUCGAACGGUGUCUUCGGACAUAGUGGCGCACGGGUGCGUAACACGUAUGCAACCUACCUUACAUUGGGGGAUAGCCUUUCGAAAGGGAGAUUAAUACCGCAUAAGACAGUAGCUGGGCAUCCAGCAGCUGUUAAAGAUUUAUCGAUGUAAGCUGGGCAUGCGUCCAAUUAGCUAGUUGGUGAGGUAACGGCUCACCAAGGCAAUGAUUGGUAGGGGAACUGAGAGGUCAAUCCCCCACACUGGCACUGAGAUACGGGCCAGACUCCUACGGGAGGCAGCAGUAGGGAAUAUUGGGCAAUGGACGCAAGUCUGACCCAGCCAUGCCGCGUGCAGGAUGAAGGCGUUAUGCGUUGUAAACUGCUUUUAUACAGGAAGAAACGACUCUUGCGAGAGGCAUUGACGGUACUGUAAGAAUAAGCACCGGCUAACUACGUGCCAGCAGCCGCCGUAACAC